UAACCUGCAUUAUUCUAUAUAUUAAAUCAGAUUCAUUUUCACUCUUGAUGCCUGUACUUUGAGAUUCAAAAAAGAAACAAGAUGCAGUUGAUGCAUGUCGUCAUUCUGUUUGUGUUGGCUGUAGUGCUCAAUGUCAUUGAAGCACAAAUGAAAGGAGAUCAAGGUAUGAUAAGUGGCGGACCAAAUGACCCGUGGUAUUGUUGCCGAAGGACAGCGGAUCGUUGUUUGGAAUGGUGUAGAUGAUCAUGGUACAUGCUAAUGUGAAUACAAGACGAAAGACAGGACACACAUCUACCAACACUCCAUGAAUUUCAACGAAAUAAACCAAUUAUUGUUUUGAUUGAUAGUUUAAUACAAAUGAAAAAUCAA